CGGAGUAUAGCGCAGUUGGUAGCGCGGGUGGUUUGGGACCAUCAGGUCGGGAGUUCAAUUCUCUCUACUCCGACCA
rnacentral:tRNA from 1 species